GCCCAGUGAUGAGACCAAGGCGAAUAUGAGCCCACUGAAUUAGAGUCUGAGCUCUCCUGCGUUCCUUUUGGCUGGUAAUCUUGGCUGGGCAGUGAAGAUUUGCUGUCUUGCUGUAAGGGCCUGCCUACAUACAACAAGCCCCUUUCUUUGAAAUUUCUCUCCUUUGAAGAAAUAGGAAAGAAAAAGGAUGGAGCUUACAUUUUUUUUGUGUGUGUGUGUGAGAAGGGUCAUAGGUUGAGUCUCAUUUCUCUGCAGUAAUUCUUGGGGCAUUGAGCUCUCUCUUUGGUAAUCUGAGGGCA
rnacentral:snoRNA from 1 species